CUAAUGCUAAGGUGAUAGAAGGCAAAGCUGGCUAGCACAAGGGCUUUUCUGCCCCAGGCAGCUGUUAACAAGUAAGUAUAGUUGACAGCUACCCUAACACCCAACCCUAACACAACUCACCUGUGCAUUGCCCUGUUGGCUUUUUUAUUGGGCAUCCAUGGGCUUUGGUCUGUGAUUCACCCAGCUGGUGCUGGCCAGGCUAUUUAAGUACUUCCAGCAGUCAACAGUGCUGUUUUGCCUGUGAGGAAGUAAAAGGUUUUUGGUUUAUUGUAUUGCCCAGUGCUUGGUGGCCGUGCCCUGCUCCUGGCUGUGCCCAGGGGGAUGAUAAAGACCUGCAGUGGCAAUAGGACCCCUAGUUGUUGGAGUGCACCAAGCACGUUUGUCCCAUCGCUCUCACUGUGCCAGGAGAAGAGUAAAGUCGUCAUGGUUUCUGCAGACUGUCAGCAGUGUUCAAAAGAGGUGCAGGGGCUGAACCACAUUGACCGGUUUGGGCAAUUCAGAGCCUGCAGGAACAGCCGGGGAGGGCUGUGCUUCAUCUCUGCUGCUCCUCCAAACAGAAAUGGAAAAAACAGGAGGAGGAGGAUGGAGGGGAGGUGGAGAGAGAGAGAGAGGAGAGAGGGUGAGAGAUCUGGUACAGCAUGAGCAGUGCUGUCGGAGCAAGCUGAAGCUUUUGGAGAGAAACAGCGCUUGGGAGUGGUGCAGAACUGGAAAUGGCUUUUGAAUCUUUCUGUUAUGUUGUACAGUAAAUGGCUGGGAUACCUCUAAUAGUGAGGAAGGAGCUGUCUGGCUGGCUGAGGCUGUGCUGCUGCAGGGGUUGCUGCAGCAGCAGUGCUGUGGUCCCUACGGGCAGCAGCAUCCCACCCGCUGCUCCUGGAUGGGUGCCUGGGGCAAACGCUGCAGGAAGCACGUUGCACAGAACUGAGAUACCCGAGAUAGAAACCAGUACCUGCACUGGGAGACACUGGGGAGCUGGUGUUCUUUCCCAGCAGCACUGGGCUGUGCAUGCAGUCCUGAGGCCAGAGGAGGAGGGCUGACCACAACGUUACACACAUCACAGACCUGCCACAACCCUCUGCAUGUGUGGGGAAGAGGAAGUCCUGCCCAAGCUCACUGGACACUCAGGGAAUUGCCCAGAGCCCAGCAGACAGGACCUGUUUCCAUCGCACAGAUGUGCACCGGGCCGCUACACAUGAGUGUUAUACCCAUGAGCACUCGUGAUGGUGGUGGUGGAAGAGGUCACUCUGUUGGCUGUGUUGGAUCAAGUCCUGAGAGCGUUCCUUCAGGGUGGAAGAGCCUGAGCGAUGCUGUUCCUUUUCUGACUCCUCCAAAGGCCAUCAAAGUCCUCCAGGUAAAGCAAGGAAGUCAGGACAUGGCAGCUCUAAUGUAAAACUGUGGGAAGAGGAGACAGCUGCUUUAAAAAGCAACCUUUGCAAGGUCGUCUCUGAGCAACGCAGAGCAGCAGCACAGAGCUCGAGCACUUUUCUGCAAUUCAGCUUGAAAAGGCUGCAUCUUGCCCUUCCUUUAUGGGAAAGAACACAUGUGAUGACAGGUCCCCGGAGCUUUUAUUUUGAAGCCAAAUGCUUAGAGUGCAUGAAGACAGCAAAAGCCUUUUCCUUCAGGCGAUACAAAUCAAAUAAAUGGAGGCGCUGCACUGCAGUUCUGUGCAACUGACUUGCACACAAACUGCACGUGUGUCUGAGCAUCCGAAAUGCAGUCCUGAUGGGAGGUGCUGGGUGCUGUCAGCAGCCCUCCUGCCCCAGCUGUUUCCUACCUGCUUGGGGCCGGGGUGUCUGCCCAUGACUUGACUUUGCCACGCUGGACAAAUGUUCUUCAAUGUAAAUUGAAUAGUAAGCUAUGCUAAAGGCACAAAAUAAAAAAGCAAGUGGAUUUUGUAGCAGCUACAGAGCUCUUAUCUUCUCAUUAAUGGG
ensembl:lncRNA